rnacentral:rRNA from 1 species
UUGAAAUACCACCCUUUAAUGUUUGAUGUUCUAACGUGGGCCCCUUACCGGGGUUGCGGACAGUGUCUGGUGGGUAGUUUGACUGGGGCGGUCUCCUCCUAAAGAGUAACGGAGGAGCACGAAGGUUGGCUAAUCCUGGUCGGACAUCAGGAGGUUAGUGCAAUGGCAUAAGCCAGCUUGACUGCGAGCGUGACGGCGCGAGCAGGUGCGAAAGCAGGUCAUAGUGAUCCGGUGGUUCUGAAUGGAAGGGCCAUCGCUCAACGGAUAAAAGGUACUCCGGGGAUAACAGGCUGAUACCGCCCAAGAGUUCAUAUCGACGGCGGUGUUUGGCACCUCGAUGUCGGCUCAUCACAUCCUGGGGCUGAAGUAGGUCCCAAGGGUAUGGCUGUUCGCCAUUUAAAGUGGUACGCGAGCUGGGUUUAGAACGUCGUGAGACAGUUCGGUCCCUAUCUGCCGUGGGCGCUGGAGAAUUGAGGGGGGCUGCUCCUAGUACGAGAGGACCGGAGUGGACGCAUCACU